CUUGAACGCUGGCGGCAUGCUUUACACAUGCAAGUCGAACGGUAACAGGCCGCAAGGUGCUGACGAGUGGCGAACGGGUGAGUAAUGCAUCGGAACGUGCCCAGUCGUGGGGGAUAACGCAGCGAAAGAUGCGCUAAUACCGCAUACGAUCUAUGGAUGAAAGCGGGGGACCGUAAGGCCUCGCGCGAUUGGAGCGGCCGAUGUCAGAUUAGGUAGUUGGUGGGGUAAAGGCUCACCAAGCCGACGAUCUGUAGCUGGUCUGAGAGGACGACCAGCCACACUGGGACUGAGACACGGCCCAGACUCCUACGGGAGGCAGCAGUGGGGAAUUUUGGACAAUGGGCGCAAGCCUGAUCCAGCAAUGCCGCGUGCAGGAAGAAGGCCUUCGGGUUGUAAACUGCUUUUGUACGGAACGAAAAGGCUCUGGAUAAUACCUGGGGCUCAUGACGGUACCGUAAGAAUAAGCACCGGCUAACUACGUGCCAGCCGCCGCCGUAAAAC
rnacentral:rRNA from 1 species